rnacentral:rRNA from 1 species
UUCCAGACUCCUACGGGAGGCAGCAGUGAGGAAUAUUGGUCAAUGGGCGGAAGCCUGAACCAGCCAAGUCGCGUGAGGGAAGAAGGCCCUGCGGGUCGCAGACCUCUUUGGACGGGGAGCAAGGCCGCCGACGUGUCGGCGGAAGGAGAGUACCCGUAGAACAAGCAUCGGCUAACUCCGUGCCAGCAGCCGCGGUAAUACGGAGGAUGCGAGCGUUAUCCGGAUUUAUUGGGUUUAAAGGGUGCGCAGGCGGCACGGCAAGCCGGCGGUCAAAUCGCGGGGCUCAACCCCGCCCAGCCGUCGGAACUGCCGGGCUAGAGUGGGCGAGAAGUGCGUGGAAUGCGUGGUGUAGCGGUGAAAUGCGUAGAUAUCAGGAGGAACACCGGCGGCGAAGGCGGCCUGCUGGACCGUGACUGACGUUGAGGCUCGAGAGCGUGGGGAGCAAACAGGAUUAGAUACCCGGGUA